ACUGAGAGAGCGAAGCAAAGCGUGUUAAAAAACAUAAAUACUUUGUAAGCUCCUUUUUUUGUUAAAACUGGUGUUCCAUCGUCUGUAAACCCUCCAGGCGGGUUCAAAACGGCCGAAAAUGUAACGGUUGCAAUGACCGUCGCUACCAGAAGUUUCGAAUCAUUUCUAUUGAAGGUCUGAGCCAAAUAAGCCUGCAAGUUUUCUCUCGUAUUUUUAGUAUUGACCGGUGUCUCAGACGUACUGCUUUCCCCUUGGGAUCCAAAUUUCUUGAACUCCUGCUUGAUUUUUUGUUGAUAAUAUGGCACGGUAACGACAACGUCUCUUGCCAGGCAGUUCAAAACAUUGCGACUUUUUACGAUUUCCUAAAACAUAAAUAAAGUACUACACUUUUAGUAAACAUAUACAGGACUUAAGAACAAUAAGGUAACGAAUUUGGAUUUAGAUAUGUUCUGCGUUUGAUUCUAUCCAAUAUAAGAAAAUAAAAUAGAGAGUUCAAAGUUGAAAUCCAAGGGAAAUAAAUAAAAGAUUCUUCCCGUGUUCUCGGCGAGCAAAAUGUCGCUAACUUGCAAAAAUUCUUUAUUGAUAGCAGUUCUGUUCAACCUCCUGUCUCUCCUUAAAAUAGCAACGAUUUCACUAUUUUCAUGAAUAGCAGCUAGAUGCCAAGGAGUGUUUCCAUCAUUAUCUGCUUCGUUUAUAAGUCUCGCAAGCCUAGGCGUCUUCAAAACGUACACUUCACAACAUUUAUCUUUUCGCCUAAAACUGCUGCAUGUAGAGCUGUUUGGCCCUUGUGAUUGACACAAUCACAAAUAUCAGGACAACGUCCGAUCAACUCUUCAAUUAUUUGGGUGUGCCCUGCAUAUGCCGCGACGUGGAGAGCUGACAUGCCAAGCUCGUCUUUGAUGUAACAAGCAAAUUUGAAAGUUUUGCAAUUUUGAAUCAGUAGUUGAGCUGCUUUAAGGUUCCCUCUCAGUGAUGCGUAGUGUAAUGGAGUCCACCCUAUUUCAUCACGAACUUCGACCAUCCCAGGAUUUUUGGUAACCAUAGAUUGCACAAUUCCUAAAAUGUUGGUAUAGAAAAAUUAGAAAUUGUGUUGCGGGAAUCAAGUAUAUAUAUGAAAAUAAGGCAUACCAAGUAACGAGUCCCUUAAGAAGGAUCUUGCGCAACGGUAGCUGGACUGAGAUGCAUAUCUCAAUCAUUAAGGAUAUAUUAUCGACUGUCAAUAUGUCAUACUCGAUAACUAAGUUGAUUAUACAGUUAUAUGUUGAUGGGAUUCCGUGCAUAAGAAGGGUCUAGUACGGUAGUACCAAGCAAUGUCAUGAAGUUAAUUACCUUUCUUGGCGAAGGGUAUACGAGUGGCUGCUGCGUGCAAAGCGGUCACACCAUUUGUUCCCUGAAAAGAAAGAGAUUCAUGAUCCGGAGUCUUUUUUAAAAUAUAAUCAGCAAUGCUGGUAGACCCGGCUCUAACAGCUAGGAACAGGGGUGACUCCUUGGUGCUGUAAAAUGAACAACACAAUUCAGGAUCAGCACUCAGCAAAAUCUUCGCUACUCCAGCAUGAUUGUAUCGAACAGCAACAUGCAGUGCUGUAUCCAUUUCCAAAUUAGGCAUUCGGAGUAGCUUUUUGUAAGCUUCACCGUCAGUUGGUUCCUUUUCUGGAUCAAGAUCAACCACUUCCAUAGGUUCCGCUUUUAUGUGCUCAAUGAGGAACGUUACUACUUCACCGCAACCUACUCUCGCGGCAACAUGUAGAGGAGUUUCGCCAUUCUUGUUGGUGGCCCAAAACCGGGGAGAUUCGGGAAUUUUUUUCACUUUUUUGAAGAAGUUUAUUUGCUUGAAUUCAGCUGCAAUGUGAAGAAUAUUGUUCUCUUUAGGUGUUUUCUGAGAGAGAUCAGCUGUUAGAAGUCCUUCCAAGAAGCCAACAUCACCAGUUGCAGCUGCUUCAUACAGAGAAGGAUUCAUGCUUCCACCUCUCUCUCAGAUUUCCUAAAAAGUAUAACGUUGAAAUAAGAACACAAAUGCAAAUUGCAAUGGAGGAUUUGUGAACCAUAUAUAGGUCACUUACAGGAGGUUGCCAAUUGCAUGCCAAGUAGGCAAGUAGCCAUGCCAAGUAGGCAAUGCCUACUACCAUUCAAAACACUUGUGCCGUCCACCAUUCAAAACACUUUGUUUAUUUUUUCUUCUCUUCUUGUCAGUAACCCAUUCAAAACUUUUAUUUUUUAUAUUAUUUUUCUUUCUUUUUCCCACAUGGUGCCGGGCACCAUUCAAAACUCUUUGUUUAUAUUAUUUUUUAUCCUUUUCGGUGUCAGAAAACAUGUGCUUGUGUUUAUCUCCUAACAUUUUUUAAUCUUAGAUUUUUGUCCACUACAAACCUUAUCCAAAGCAGAUGAGAGACGUGAGGCAGGGAAGGACAAAACAGACUUCUUGCUGUAGCAAAGUGUGAACAGUACGGAACCAAAGCAGAAACCAAGUGCAUUCCCGCUCUUUAACUGUUGGUGAACAGUACACGCUCUCACAUAAUGAACAGUGCCAAUCAACUGGACUUUAGCAUGUAUAAAUAUAUAUACACACACAUAUAUAUUAUGGUUGUUGUAUUUUAUAGUUAAAUUUUAUUAAUAAUUUAAAAAAUUAAAAUCAUCGAAAUAAUUUUUUUUUAACGUAUCAAAACGAUUUACCAACGUGUCAUCCUCGGAUAAACUUGUUAAGGAUACAUUAUUAAUAAGUUCUUAUCGUGUAAUCCAAUAACAACCUAAUUAAUUAUUGUGUUGAUCCAAAAUUCUUUAUUUUUAUGUUUAUGUGUCGUGUUAACAAAUCAUGUAAAAAAAAUGUCCGGUUUACUUUUCAACUUUAAAUUAUUAAUUCGUUCAAUGUUGGUGUCUUUGUCUUUUGGGUUAAAAAAUGCACUGUCAACUAUCAUUGUCAUCGAAUAGUCUGUCAGUCUUCCAAGGAAACUUGUAAGUAUUUUCGUCCGGAAAACUGCCAAAACCAAGAUCACAAUUUCUGUCAAAGUAUUCCAUAAACGUGAAUAAUUAGUGAAUUAAUGCGUUAUAUGAAAAUGCAUACAUUUACUAUUUGGUCUUGGCAGAAAUUGUGAUGCAAUUUCUGGAACGAGAAUUCUCUCCGAAUUCUCUUUGUGAGGAUUCCGAAAAUUCUUCAAUCAUGUCUGUUCAUCAUAUAUGAUAUGAUCAUUUUUUGUCAGGUAUUAUUUGUAUUUAAUUUUAAAUAAAAAAAUUAAAAUACUUUCUGACAGCACGAUAUAUGAUAAACGGAUACGAUUAAAAGAUAUAUGGAAUCUUCACAAAGAAGAUUAAAAAAGAAUCCUCAUUCCGAUUUCUGAAUGGACUUGUCAAAGUCCCGUGUUGUCUCCUACCAUGAAAUUCAAACAUGUCACAUGGGCUCAACGCACUUAGCUUAAACUAGAAAAUGUGUGCGUGCUUUGUUGCGGACAUUGAAUGUAUUAUCCACAGACACACGUGAAUAAUUUCCACACAAAGUAACUAAAAAGAUGGGGUAUUACCUAAGAACCAAUGAAGUGAAACUUUGCUUGCUAUGUAUGGAUAUGCAUGCUAUAAGAAACCAUUCAUUUGUAGAUCAUAUUGCGUCAUCAGUAUUAUACUCAUACUCUCAGGUGAUCAGCCUACUACAUGAGAAAAACACAGAAAAGGCAAAUCACAAAAGUAGAAGACAACAUUUGAGCAUCUAGCAAGAAUAGUUAGUUUUUGAAAAAAUUGCUAAACAGUCUUACAAAUUCAAUUGUUAAAUGUUACACUAUGACCUAAGAUAAAAAUAAAGUAUAGGAAACUUUAACGAAAAAUCACAUUUUUACACUAAAAAGUCAAUCCUAAUACUAUUCCCUUUACCCUUUAUUUUGUCUUUAUCGUUAAAACUCAGUUUUCAAAUCAUUUUCAUUAGUUUUCCUUAGUUUUCCUUGAAGUUAUAUAGUUCAUUCACAUAUCAAAACAAAGUGCGAUCAAAGGAAAAUGAUUAAGAAGUUGAAAAUACAAAACUGGAUUAGGCAACCAUAUCUUUUAUCGGUAACUAAACAAAUAAUUUAGAAUUGUACAAACCCGAUUCUAGCUCAUCUACCUCCUCUCAUCCUCAGCUCUGUAUUUCAAAGGCUGAGUAGCCACGUUUGGAGAAGUUAUCAAAUAAUCACCAUCUGAAGAUUGAGAAUAACCUCCAUUCACAUUGCAAAUUUUUUUUUAGAAAAUGGGACAAAUUAACAUAUUUAGAGUUAAUUAUUCUGAUGCAAACAUUCUUAAGAUAAAUUAAGUAGAAAAAAUGUAACGAAUCCAAUGAAAAAACAGAAGGAAAAUGAUUUAAAGAAAAGUUAAACUUUAAAUACAUCACAUUAGUGAUUAAUCAACUAGAUAGUUAGUCUCAAACCAGAGUCUCAAUGAUCUCGCAAUACCAGGGACAUCACUCUCCCUGUUAACUCUCAACUACCUCAACUCCAUCACUCUCCCCCCCAUUGUUUCUAAUUCACCUCUCCUUCGAACUCUUCGACUACAAAUUUAUAUAUAGCAACUUGAACUGUCCAUUUCAAAUCAUAUAUACAUAGGCAGAAAAGCAAAAACUAAAUUCCUGCCGCAUAAAUUAAUUGGUAACCAAACAAAGAAAAAUUCUUGGAGACUGGAACAAAUCCAAUUGAAUUUUCAUGAAACGUAUACUUAAGUGCCCAAAAUUUGAGUUUUACAUCAUAUUAUGUUCUUACAAAAACAGUUUCUCGGCUGCUAGGUAAUUUCUGUGGCUUUUGAUCAAUAGUUGUACUUAUAUACCCAAAAAAAUAAAAUAGUCAAACACAAAUGAAAGAAAGACCUAUCAAAUUAAUAAGAAAUCCAAGUUAGAGUUGUUAAAAUUCACUUUUAUCUAUACAAUUCAAACUUCCACACAUUUGUUCAUACACUUCACCAACUGUCAAACACUGCUAAUUACCAAGAUAGCAAGAUAAUGAAUUCUGUGAACAAAAAAAUGAAAAAUGAUAUGCAAUUUGAACUUACAUGCCAAAGAAGCUCCAUAAGAGUAGUAGCUUCCUACUUAUUGCAUGCAUCAAAAGCAUUGCAACCGCAGAUCCUGAAAAUUAUCAAAAUUCAUCGAGUCAAGAGGCAAUAUCAUAGUUGUGUGAAGGUGAAUAUGCAACCAAUAAUCUAAGAUAUACCUGACAAUUUUGCAAUUCCGUUGUAAUUUCACACAAAAAAAAUAUCAAAUUUUGAUUCAAACAUCAAACAAAAUAAUCCCACCUGUUACAGAUUGGACCAACGAAAUAAAGAAUCUAUUAAUAUGAUUUUCAACCUAACUAUAAAAAGGAGCUUUAUAACUAUCAAUAUAAUUUCAACCCAUCUGAAAAGAAACUGAUUGUGUGUCAUAAAUUCUAUGGGUAAUUUGAUUUUGCAGAUUAAAAAGAAUUGAAGAAUACUAAAAAUUACAAAACCCUAUCACAACAUACCAUCAGCGAUGAAUUAAAUCCAAAUGUAAACUGCAGUUUCUUAUAGAGCAUAUCCAAAAGUAAAUUGCAGUUUCCUAUCUCUCCGAGCAUCUAAACAGAAACUGUAAUUCAAAACUCUGAUUUCAAUAACCCAAAAAGUUUAAAUUGCUUACCGUUCUCUUGACUGUGGAUUACAUUAAGUAUAUGGAGUUUAAAAUUUAAAAACAAAAAGACAAAAAAACAAAAAAACAGAUAACAAAUAGGGAGUAAGAUCAAACAGUGAGUGGUUCAAUUAACCUUUUUCUGUUGGUCGCGUCUGUGAAUCCUUUAAUUUGCAGAAUGAGCUUGGGAACUCUUCCCAAAACUCCCACAAUCAACGCACCUGCGUCAAAAGGGAAAGGAAAAACAGUUGAAUAUUUGAACUGCACCAAACAGAUUGAUUGAUAAAAAAUAAACGAACAUGACACGACCAAUGAAUUUCACCAAACGGGAAGUAAUAAAAUAUUGGACACUGAAUGAGUUGGAAUAAAAACACAACUGCAUUUUCUUAUUCUUCUCCCACAUUCAUGAGGCUUCUUUUUCAUCUUUUUCUCUUCUAAUUUCAAAGAACACAACAAUUAGCACAGCCUGCUAUAAGGUAGAGGAAGCAUAUGAGUCUCCUCAAAAUGGAUGUCCAAGGCUGACCCUUAUGCAGAAGGAAGCAUGGGAAGCAUAAAUGGGAUAUCAAGAGACGAUCUCAAGUAAAUUUGCAACACAAAACCCAACCAGCAACAAUUUGUUCAUGACAUCUUAAAACAUCAAAUUUCAAAACAGGACAUUUAAUGCAAAGAGCUCAAACUAUAAUAAUUGGUGAAUCAAAUAUUUUCUAUUGAAUUUAUCCUUUCAAUUGGUUGGUAUUUUCGUUUAUUCUCGUAUCUUUCAAUUGUCACCCAAAACUAACAUCUGAGAGAGCAUUGCACUUCUUAUCUUUAAAAGCACGAAUGGUGAACUAAAUCAAAGAAUAAGAAUCAGCAAUGAACUAAACAAAAACACACUUUUUACGAACAUUAUUCGCACAAAAAUUAAAACUGUAUUGAGAAACUCACCACCCCAUUUCUAAUGAAUGACGUAUGAUGAUAGGAACAUCAUACGGUGAAUUGCAUAUAAAGUAAAACAUCAAGUAUACCUCGAGGCGACAUUAGAUACGAUCAUUAUCCAAUCUUCAUCUUUGACACCAAGAGCACUCAGCAUCUCAGAAUUCCUCAUCUCCCUACCCUCACAUAGCAACUUCUGCUGCUGAAGUAGUACCCGUGUCUGCUCAUACGCAUCGAAAAACAUCACACAUUCAAUAUACAUUUCUCUAUUAAUUAAUCAGCUAACUAAAUUUAAAAUUAGUUUUCAAACCAAAAAAAUUUCUAAAUUUUUUAUUUUGCAAUCACACCCAGUUCUUCAUCUCUUACUCUAAAUUCCAAUUACAAAAAAAUCUAAACUUUACUUCAAUUUAAUAUUGUUUUCCCCAAAAACAGCACAAUCCCAUAAAAAUAAAGUUUAAAAAAAACAACAAUAAAUCAUGAAUUAAAUUAAACUUCUCACCUCCACCUCCAACAUAGCUUUCACAUUCUCAACCUGUCAUAAAAAAAAUCAAAUCAAAUUCAAGUAAAAAUAAAAAAGAGAACUUGAAUAAAGCAACCCUAGUCCACCCAGUUCUUCGUCUCUUACUCUAAAUCCCAAUUACAGAAAUAUCUAAACUUUACUUCAAUUUAAUAUUGUUUUCCCCAAAAACAGCACAAUCCCAUAAAAAUAAAGUUUAUAAAAAAAACAACAAUAAAUCAUGAAUUAAAUUAAACUUCUCACCUCCACCUCCAAUAGAGCUUUCACAUUCUCAACCAGUCAUAAAAUAAAUAAAUAAAUAAAUCAAAUCAAAUUCAAGUAAAAAUAAAAAAGAUAACUUGAAUAUAGCAACCCUACUCCCCCUCCUUCUCCCUCUCCCUCCGCAAUUCACGCGUGCACCCUCUCCCUCUGUAACCCUCCCCCUGUGAAACCCCUAAACCCCACGCAUAUGCCCUAUAUCUUGUGGCUACAACCUCACAAAUCGUCCCCAUCACCUCGAUCCCAUCGAACCACAAAUCAGGCACAAUUUAUGAGAGUAAUUGUAAAAAUGGAUAAAACACUUUCAAUAAAAGUUUUAUAAAAAAAGCUUUUCAAUCCAACACCAUCCAAAACCAUAAAAGAACAGAAUAAAGACACCAAAAGUAAAAAAUAAAUAAAUUUCCACAUAUUCAACUUUCACAGUAUAGAAACACACAACUUUCACGAUAUUAAAAAAAAAAAUUGUUGGAGAAAAGGCUCAAAGGAAAAAUCCAAAAUUAUUUACCUUGAGCAUAAAGGGCUUUGAAAGAUGUAAACAAAAGCCCCAAAAAAACGAAGAGCAUAGUGACCUGAAAUAAAAAAAUAAAAGCAAAUUAUACAACCGAAAGAUCUAAUGAUAUAAACAAAAUACCCAAAAUUAUAAAAACUAAAUUACAAAAAAUGAAGAACAAUGUGUUCUGAAACGAAAAAAAAAAGAAAAUCAUAUGCCCAAAAUUAUAACGGACGAUUUCAUAUUUUGUAGAUAGAUGACACUCCCUUUUGUCAUGUAUGAUAAAUAUUCAAAGUUAUAACAUCUCAAUUCCACAUAAGGCAGUACACAAACCUUUGGAGAGAUGCCAGUGGACAGUCAAAAGCUGGGUCUCGUGUUGUGGCAACGACUCAUGCUGCUGUUCAUCGAUCACUGCAAAAGAACGCAAAGUUCUAUAUUGCUAUAGUACAUACUAGAGAUUUAUGCCCACGCGUUGCUGCGGGAUUGGAAAUUGUAUCAAAUGGUCUAGAUUAAAACAAUCAAUUCAAUCAAGAUCCAUAUUCUCAACAAACAAACUGUAACGGAGAACGUGAUAGGAUUUGAUCACAAUGCACAGCGGAAUCAACAACUAAUAUUCAACACUACACAAUCCAAAACGGUAAUGAUAUUAAGUUUUUUUUUAAACCUGAUUGUACUAAGUGAUUCUUUCAAUAAUAUGAUAAAUUAAAUAAAAUGAUCACUACCAAUAGUUUAGAUUACAACAAUCAAUUGAAUCAAGAUCCAGACUCCAACAGGACAACUAAAAGCAAAGAGUUGAGAGAAGAAACAACACAAAUGACUGGUUCCCCGAAAACCAUUUAAGUAGAGUUAAAAAAAAGGGGUUAGUCAUGACCAAAUUUAAGAAGUCACUAAAACCAAAGCUCAAUUGCAAACCUCCUUGUAUUCCAUGUAUGCAAUGACUCUACUAAUAUGUUCACAGUCAUGUUGACCUGUAUAAAGAAAAACUCAUUUAGUUCAUAGCAAAUUGUGAGUCAUUCUGAAUAUAAAAACUUGCUUUUUCAAUCACCCAUCUAAAUAAAAAAAUCAACUCCAAAAUUGAUGGUCAGAAGUAUAACUAAAUGAAAUGGGAAAACAGUUCAAGAACCUGCCAAUGUCAAGUACUAUGACUUUGUGGGAUUAAAAAUUGUAUGAAAGAUUGUGUCAUAGAAUAUUACUAAAAUUUACAUUGAAAACGUUAGAAAUUUUUUUACAUACAAUAUACUCAUUUACAAAAGAAAACAGAGCCACUGAAACGAACAGGGAUAUCAACCAAUCAUCGCAGUACAAAACCAGUAAAUACAGCAUUCACAGAACUGAGUGACUCUUACACAAUCCAAACAUAGAAUUUUAGCUUGUUGGUAUCAGAUGAUUAACUCUAAUUACACUAACGCGGACACUAUCUCUGAAGAAAACUAAAGAGAAGGACAAAAGUUGUGAAGAGUUAUCAACCAAAGUACAAAGACCAUAAAGCAUGAAAUGUUAAAGAAGAGCAGAUUUCCUCGCAACUGAUGCAUAUUGCUGUCAUAGCUCUGAGAAUAGCUAACCAAACCAAUCUAACUCUAAAGGCAGCCAUCAUAAAUUAGAAAGCUCAUUCGACAAAAGGCUAUAUUAAAAAAAGGUUCAUGUAUAUGCCCAAUUAUACAAACAAUUUUGCUAAGGAAUGCCUUUCCAACCUCCUCCUACAGCAACAGACUCUGCAUGUACAAUUUGAUAGUGUUUCUACCAGAUAAUAUAGCCAAUGGGAUUAACAAUCAUUAAAGUUGACCCUCCACUACAACUAUACAUUCUGCUAUACAUUCAUUCUCUUGCAAAACGUUCAAAAGGAUGAUAGAAAAUCUUGUGUAUAUAAAUUAUAGCCGAUGGUAUAUGUCAGUUCUCUUCUACCAUUACAACCAAUGAGAUAUAUACAUUCUCUUCUACCAUUAAGAUAUAUAAGAAAAUAACUAUUUAACUGAAAAUGAAGAUCUAAAAGCUAGCCACUGUACAUGUUCUGUCCAUUCUAUUCUACCAUUGAAGCAUGCAUGUUAAAAAAAAUUUGUAAAUCUAAACGCUUAUUUCAAACAGAGCAUGUCCAUUCAGCUCUUAAAACCGAAAGAAAAGAUUUAGGUUUCUUUCUUACCCAAAUCCACCAAUUUGAAUCAAAUCUCUGCAACCCUUCCAAUCAAAUGCAAAUUAAUACAACUCUGCAAUCAAUAAACAAAACCCACAUAAAAAAUUCAACAAAGAAAGAGAAUCCAGAAACCAAACCUAUCAAUCAAUUCCUAAAUCAACAAUAAAAAAAAAUCAAUAAAUUAGUAUCUAACUCCACAAAUAAACAAAGCCCAUAUCAAAUAAUUCACAAAAAUUUAUUACAACUAAAGAAUUACCUUCCAAGGGAUGGAGAUUCCAAGUAGGCUUCCAAUAAUGAUCUGAUCGAUAAGAAAAUACUUGUAGGUCAUGGGAUAUCACUUUGAGAUUUUCAUGGUUUACCUUUUCUUUUAAAAUGGGUUAAUACGUGAUCAUCCAGUCCUCCAACUUUCUGUUUCUCAAUCUUCUGCAAGAGGAUUGAAAUCAGAACCAUUAAGUUUCAGAAGAAACAAAGUCGACAGGAAAAAAAUGGUGUCUCCUACAUCAAACAAUGAAAAUGCAAAUUCCUUGGGCGUAAAAGAAGGGAAGCGUGGAAUGCUUACUCAAGCUCAAUUGAAGUUGAAAGGGUCAGAGACAGAAACAGAAGCCAAGGAGGAGAAAUAACGGUCAACGCCAAAUUUGUGGGUGAGGCGAGUUCGAGAGCGAUAGAUUCAGAUUUUUUUUGUUUUGAAUAUAUAUACAACUAAUUUACCAUUCAAUCAUAUUAGUGGAAAACAAUUAAACCGUAAAAUUAACAACAAUUAAAUCUUAGGAAGACCAAAUUUCCUGUAAUUUAAAAAACCCAUAUGAAAAGCUGUAGACAGUCACCAUCCAAAACCGUAAAACAACACAACAAAGACACCAAAAUUAAAAAAUAAAUAAAUCCCACAGAUUCGACUUUCACACUAUAGAACACACAACCUUCACAAUAUUAAAAAAUAAAAUUUGUGGCAGAAAAGGCUCAAAGGAAAAAACCAAAAUUAUUUACCUUGAGCAUAUUAACGGCUUCCAAGCUUGUACACAGAUUCCCCAAAAAAUGAAGAUCAAAGUGACCUGAAACAAAAUACAGAAGCAGAUCAUACAACCAAACAACAUAUCUAAGGAUAUAAACAAAACACCCAACAUUACAAAAACUAAAUUCCCAAAAACGUAGAGCAACGCGUUCUGACACGAAAAACACAAACAAAUCAUCGACCCAGACAACGGAUCUAAUGAUAUAAAGAAAAUACCCAGAAUAAGAAAAGAAAAGAAAAAAAGUCAUUCACAAAUCCCACCCCAACAUGGAAAACUACCAAAAAAAAAGUCAUUCAGAAAUGAAGAUAAAUAGAACCUUAAUAUGGAAACUGAAGCUUUACCUGCAGAUCGGCAACGGCAAAUGAAAUCCAGCGGGUACCUCUAGAGUGAGAGAGACUUACAGGGAUCGCAGACAAAAACAGAGAAUAACACCAAAAAAAUGGGUACUGACUCGGGUUUUAAACGCAAGAUGCAGCAACUAUUUAUUUUUCAAAGCGUUUUAAACGCAAAAAAUUUGCACAGAUGAUUUGGCUAAGAAAAAUGAGAAAGAUGAGAAAAUCGAAAACGGAGAAAACGAAAGCUUGAGAGAGAAAGAAAGGCAGGCGGAAAAACAGGGUGAGGGGUGAGGGGUGAGGGGUGAGGGAGAGAGAGAGGGGGACAGAUGGGAGAGGCAGAGAGCAGUGAGGGAUGAGAGAGAGUGACAAUGUUGGGAGAUGGGGAGUCUCAGGGGUGGAGAAAAUAUUAGAUAGCAAAAACCAAACACACUUUUCAUAUGUUCUAAUCAUUUUUUUUCUCUCUAAACCAAUUUUUUUAUUAUUUGUUAUCCUUUUCGAUGUCAGAAAACAUGUGCUUGUGUUUAUCUCCUAACAUUUUUUUAAUCUUAUUUUUUUGUCCAAUACAAACCUUAUCCAAAGCUGAUGAGAGACGCGAGGCAGGGAAGGACAAAACAGACUUCUUACUGUAGCAAAUUGUGAACAGUACGGAAACCAAAGAAAAAACCAAGGGCAUUCCCGCCCUUUCACUGUUGGUGAAUAGUGCACGCUCUCACAUGAUGAACAGUACUAAUCAACUGGGCUUUAGAGCAGCUCCAGCGGGAGCUCGUGCUCGAGGGACAGGCUGCGGAACAGGACUUGAUUGCCCGAGGGAAGAAGUCCAGCGUUGGCUGACGAGGGAGCCCAAGCAGGACCGAGCGCCAGACCCGUGGAUUCGUGCCGGCCCGAGCGCCCAAAGGGGAUGUGACGUGGGUUGACGUCCCUGACAUCAGCCACAAUAUAAAAUUAAUAAAAAUACAAAAAUAUUAAUACAAAAUACAAAAUUAAUACAAAAUUUAAAAAAAAUGAAAACCCAGGCUUCGAACUCAACGGCUCUCGCCGGAGUUCGUCGUCGAGGUUGAUGAUACACCCACAAACAAAUGGCAGAGACUAAACCCAAGGGUUUCAACUCGAAACAUAUAAAAAAACAAGAGAAUAACUCAAGCAAUUGAAGUAGGGCAAUAACCUCAUCUGGGUUUGAGCAAUGGAAGCUUGAAGCUCUCGGCUUCAAUGGUGGAUCACCCAAAUGGUGCUGUGAUGAUGCAUGCAAGGAUAUAUUCGAAUUCCUCUCAUCCAGGGGAUUGAGAUUUCAGAGUUUGUUGGUUUGAUUUGCUUCGGUUUCGAAGAAGAGGAAGGAUGAAAAGGAAAAUGAAGGAUAUAUGGAUUGGAAUCUAAGCUUAUGCCUUGGCGUCGGUCCAUUUUUUUAUUCAUAUGAGAGAGAGAGAGAGAGAGAGAGAGAGAGAGAGAGAGAAUAAGAAAAGGGAGAGUGUUCUGGAAAAAAAAUGAAAAGGAAGAGUUCUGGAAAAAAAAUGAAAAGGGAGUGUUCUCUAAAAAAAAUGAAAAGGAAAAGGAAUAGGAAAAAGGAAAAAAAUUAAAAAUUAUUUUGUAUUAUUUUAUAGAUAAAAAAACUAAUAUUUUAUUACCUAUUGCCAAGGCUAUUCAAGUGCAACGGUAGAGAUGCAAAAGGCAGUUACUGUUCAUUAAGGGCGAUUACUGUUCACAUAGUGGAUUGAAUAGUGAAUAGCCUGGGGAAAGGGCUCCUGGAGUAGCUCUUAGUAUAUAUAAAUAAAUAUUGAAUCAAUUCCAAAAGGGUAUUUAUAGUAAAAAAUAAGCCUCAUAUACUUUUUCUUAGAAUGUCAGCCCCAUACUUCUUCGUAAAAACAUUAACAGUAGCUAUAGCCUGUAAAAAUAGAAAAUCAAUUAUUUACCUGCAUCAUCACAGAAUGGCAGCCACAAAAAUUACCCAGGUAAAAACUGAAUGGAAAAAUUACCUAUCUAAUGCCUUCAGAGAGGCAUGAGAUCUUUUAUCAGUGCAAAAUUGAUUUGACAUCAUUUUGUAAAAAAAAUUAGAAAGCAUAAAAUAGAUGAAAAUUAAGGCUUACAUGGUGAACAUUAUUUUUUUGCUUGUCAUACCAUUGAAUUUUUAUUGCAUUCGCAGAUGAUAUACAGGGGUUGUCAAAGCAAAAGAUAUAUGUUCUCAAAUUGUUAAUGGAAAUGGAAACACAAAGGAAAACAGUUAUUCAUAUCUAAUGACCAAAUAAAACAGGUGCAUAAUAUAUGUUCUAACCAAAUAAAAGUAGGCCGACUUGGUACCAUUUAAGAAAGCCCGAUCCGCAUUCACCACAUCUACAUAUAGUAGCAUUUAUGGGAAACGUGAAAAUCAUUGUUGAUAUAUCAUAUAUCAACAACAAUCCUUAUAGAGAUGUGACAACAAACCAACUUGAACGAAAUGUAGUCAGAUCGAUUGGCGAAAGUUAUUAUCCAUUUCGUAUCCUGCUUUAGCACUGGAAAGAGAUGCUUUAAAAUAUUUGCUGCCCUUUCACCCAACUAUGAACAAUCAAGAAAAGAAAAUCAUAUUCAAUAGAACAGUAACUACGCACGCCAACUCAUAAAGAUGUGCUGAUGCAGUGAUAUCAGUGUGCAUAAGAUUAAGACGUAGCAGGAGUGGAUGGAUCAUAAUUAAUAAGCAUUAAUCAGGGAUGGAGAGAGAAAAAGAGAGAAAGAGAGAGAGAUAGAGAGAGAGAAUUAUAUCACAAUCAAGGUAGGUUAUCAACUAUAAUCAAUCAUCCUCAUCCCUGAACCGUUAUAAACUAUCUCUAAUUGGAUCAAUGGGGUCUGAUCAAUCUUGGCAUAAUGUACGGAGUAAAGUAAGCAAUCAAGAUGCUGAAAUAUUUAAUUGAGAUAUAAUACCUUGGUUGUGAAACUGUCAAGUAUCAGAUGUGGAUAAACAUGCAUUCACGUGGCUUCCCUUUCUCCAGCCAAAACCACACAGCAUCAUGCUCAUCCUCUGCGAUUAAAAUACAACAACGAAAAAAUCAAAAUGAUAGCAAUUCAAAAUUUAAAAGAAUCAUUUUUUUUAAAUGAAUCAGUGAGCAAGCAUAGAUUUGCACAUAGAAAGAGAAAAGAAACAAGGAAGAUAUGAAUACCCACUCUCUGUCACCCAUCUGCAAGCCCACCCACCCUGUCAACCAAACUGUUUGAGAUGGACGAAACCCCAACCCCCAACUCUCCUAAGGAUGCAAUCAGAGCUUCGGGUUUCAGGAAGCAAAUGAAAAACGAAGUGCGUUUUCAUCCCCCACCCUUUCUACGAUCGUCGACACGUGCACGAGAGAAGCGGUGGCAAUUUCGUAAAUAAAUCAAAAUUUUCAAUCUGAAACGGAAAGGGUGGUGGCAAUUUUGUAAAUAACUCAAAAUCCACCCCAAGUCACUGUUCAUUUGUACAGUGCAAUUUCUUCUUCUUCUUCUUUUUUUUUUUUUUGGACAAAGGCUUACUUUAUUUAUUGGGUAAAUAUCAGUUUACUACUCUCAAGUUUCGUGGUUUUCAACAUUUGGUAUAUGAAGUUUUUUUCGUCUCAGAGUCAUACCUAAAGUGUUAAUUUUGGGACAGUCUCCUACAUCUGUUAGUUUAACUAUUAAAUCAGCAGUUAACUGAUGACGUGGCACCAUGUAGACAAUGACUGGGCGCCACGUGUCAAUAUAACGCCCACGUGAAUAUUAAAAAAUUUAAAAUUAAAAAAAAAAUCUAGGCACCCACCCAUUCUCCUUCCCCCCCUCCCUCUCCCUUCUUCUCCCUCCCUUCUCUUCCAUGCACCCAUCGUCCCCGCACACCCACUCAUUCCCCUUAUUCUCCCUCCAUUCUCUCCUCUGCACCCACCCACCUCGCACACCCACCCACCUAAAAUCAAACCACAUAAAAAAACACAAAUUUCCCCCCAAAAUUUCUUACCAUCCAAAUACCCUCUGCUUCCCCCUUUCUCUCUCCUAGGUUUUAUUUGUAUCCCUUACAUCCCACACUUUCUCGCGCUUUCCCGGAAAAAUUUUCAUCUUCAAAUCUUCAACAUGAGGCAAUAGAAAGGUAUGCCGCCUUAUUGGGACCCGCCAACUCCGUUCGUCGAGCUUUCAAAUGAUUCAAAUCGCAGCUGGUUUGGAGAAAGAGAUCGCUAUGAUGAACAGCGAUUUUGGAUUGGAUGGAAAAUCGGAUGCCACUGGAGAGGCUGAGGAAGCUAGAGCUCCGGUUUCCUAAGGCGCGUAGGUAAAGAUGGAGCUAGGUUUUGCCAAUGAAGCUUGAUUCGGGAAGUAAGGUUGGCGGAAGAUCUGAGGAUGAUAGGGCUAGGGUUGGUACAGAGAGUGAAGUUGGAAAUGUAGAUAAAGUGAUGGAAUCGAAUGGUUUUGGAAGCAUGGUGGCAGAGUAAAGGGUCACUCGGGUCUCAUAGGGUUGGAGAGAGAGAGAGAGAGGGCGGAUGGGUGGGUGUGCAAUGUGAGUGGGUGUGCAGGGAGGGUGAGUGCAGAGGAGAGAAUUGAGGGAAAAUGAGGGGAAUAGGUGAGGUGUGCGGCCAGGAUGGGUGCAGGGAAGAGAAGGGAGAUAUGAGGUCGGAAAUGAGGGGGAAUGGGUGGGUGCCCAGAAUUUUUUUUAUAAUUUAUAAUUUAUAAUUUUUUUAAUAUUCACGUGGACCCCAUAUUGACACGCGGCGCCCUAGUCAUUUUUCACAUGGGUGCCACGUCAUCAGUUAACGGUUGAUUUAACAGUCUAACUAACAGAUGUAUAAGAAUGUUCCAAAAUUAACACUAUAAGUAUGACUCUAGGACGAAAAAAAACUUCAUAUACCAAAUGUUGAAAACCACGAAACUUGAGGGUAGUAAAUUGAUAUUUACCCUUAUUUAUAACACAACAUAUUACAUUAUAGAAGGCUCAAAUACAAGAAAUACACAAACAAAAAGAUGAACCUCUAUAGUAACCUAACAGCCCAAAACAUAGUUUUGAGGCCUGAACAGGAAAAACACCAAAGUAAACCCUAGCAGCUUCCUACCUCCGCCGUCAACCCGCUUACCAAACAAACAGCCUCUGCAACCAUCACAAAUCAACAGAACUAAAACCCCAAAGCUGGAUGAAAACGUAUGAAAACAAGACCCCAAAACAGAGCCCCAAACUCUUCCACAGUAGACCAUAACAGUAGCUGACACAAAUUGAAGGAAGCUAGCGGGACAAAACCUAUUAGCAUAGUGGCAACAAAGGCAAACCAAAGGAAGGAGGUGGUGUGAACACUCGAACAAAAGCUUUACUCACCUUCCAGGAGAAGCGUGAAAAAUCACGUUGAAAAAAAGUGGGAGCCAAGCCGAACUGUGAAGUCGGAGAAGGAUAAAGCCGAUCCAGAUUGGGGAACGUGGGGGAAAAUGUAACACCCACCCCCAUUUAUAAAAAUAUAAUUAUGUAAUUACCCCCAAAAUAUUAUGAAUCUAUCAAUUUUGGUCCUUUUUUACUACCAAUGAAAAUCUGAAAACAUUGGAUUCUUUCUUCCUCAAGCUGCCACGUGGCAGCACCCCCUUCACUCCUCUCACUUCUCUCUCUGUCCCCCCCCCCGUGAUCCCCUUCCUUAUUCUUCUUCUUUUUUGUCUGUCCCGUCUCUCUCCCUCUCGGAUAUCUCUCAUUUCUCUCUCUCAUCUCUCUCAUCUUUCUCAUCUCUGCACUGUGAACCCACACACACGCACACCAUCGCACAUGCUCGAAGUAGACACCCAUCACCAUCGCGUCCUGUUCUCUCUCUCUCGUUUCCGCCAACCCAAAAAACCAAAAAAAUGAGCUCCGGCGAGAUUUUUCAAUCUCAGGUUAGGUAAGCGCCAAAUCUUCCCUUUUUCGUCCUAGAAUCUGGUGAAAUGUGGUUUAAUGGAGUUUAUUUCGUUAUUUUUGGAGGUUUUUAGGACGAAUCGAACUCGGGUGUAGGAACACCCAUUUCCGGCGAGCUGUGGGUGUCGGGGGAGAUUCCGACCAUCUUCGGCCGUUCCACGACGAAAUGAAGGUAUAGAAUUACUCCAUUCGUCUUACUCUUCGUUUUGGUACCUAGAUUAGAGUCUAGGGUUGUGUUUGGUGGUCGGCCGGAGCUGUUGAAGCUCCGAUGUUUGUUCUCCUGCGAGACCAGGCCUCCUAGGCCGGUUCCAAGUCAAGCAGGCCUUAGGCCCGUGUGGGGAGUCAAGCCCAAAAUCCUAACCCAAUUUCCUUUUUAUUGUUUUUAUUUAAUUGUUAUUUGUUUUAAGACCCUAAAGGCCUUCGGGCCGAUAAGUUGAAGGCUUGAAGCCCGUGACCCAACCCAAAACCCUUUUUAGGUUUUGUUAUUUUUCUGAUUUAGAAAGAAGGCCUUGGGCCAAUUAGAAAGUGGGUUUUUAGCCCUUUCCCUUUUAAACCCUUUAACCUUAGUUAAGCCCAAAACCCUUAAGGCCCUUAAGGCCCUUUCGGCCCAACCCAAAACCAAAGCCCAGUCUGACCUUUGACAGUUUGACCGUUGACUUUGACUUUGACCGGUCAACGGUCAGCGUUGACUUUUUGAGUUGACUUUUCGGGGUUUCAGGGCCUUUCCUAGGCUAAUUUCGACGUCCUGGACCCGUUUUUGAAGUCUAUUUUCCCAAAUUCAAUCGUUUGAAUAGAGUUUGACUAAAGGUACUCCUUUAUGUGAUUAAGUGCAAUUACUAACGGUGAUUCCGUUAUUCCUUGUUGGUAUAGCUUUGCACCAUCGGUGUAAGGUGAGUGGACCCCUUCUAAAAUGCAUGUUUUAAUAGUAGAAAUGCAUACAUGAAAAACAUGAUUUGAUGAUUACGUUUUAUGAAACGUUUUGUGAGAUAACAUGCUUACUGAUGCUACUUUGAAUUAUUACUAUUUUUCCUAUAACCCGUGUUCUUAUAGAAUAUCUGAUGGAUGACGAUAUGAUAUUUAGAACAUGUUUCGAACACCUCUUUAUAGUAUAGAUGAUGAAUGACUUUAUACUAUGAAGUUGCCUUUCAACAUAUAUAUGUUCAAUGGUUUUGUACUUACCUAGUGGUCCUUUACGCUACGGGAUGUAGGGAUAGAUUCCGGUCCGUCCCAGACGACGAUUUGGUGUUAGCAUAGGGCCUGGAGUGUGUUUUCUCUGGCUAUUUAGCACAAGGACGGGGAGCCGGCAUGGGGCCUGGGGGUUAUCAGACAAUUCACUAAUAAUUAUUAUAUAUACAAGUUAUGAUUUGAGACACUGCACGACAUGCUAGGUUUCGGAAAACCUAUGUUGAUCAUUAUAUAUGUGUUUUCAUAAAACCUGGGGGUUAGUACGUUGAUAACUGUUUUACUAUUUAUAUAUCAAAUUGGUCCACUCAUGUUUGUUUUGCGCCCCCUUCAGGGCUUAGAAUCGAGGCAUACAAUCCCAAUGUCAAGGCACUUCCACAUUGGCAUCUUCGAGUCUUCUUGGUGUAAGAUCCAUUUUUUUAUUCAUUCAAUUUUAUAUUAUUUCUUUUAGUAUUCUAGUUAGUUGUAUGCUCUGAACACGUUCCUUAAAUGCAUAUUCCUCAUUCUUUUACAAUUAUAAGUUUUAUCUAUUCCUUGUUUUCAGCAUUUGCACUAAAUAAAUGGCUUUCGUCACCCUUGAGUGUCGGCCAGCACGUGCCUAUCCUGGUAUUCGGGGAAUAUCGGGGUCGGGGAAUAUCGGGGUCAGGGAAUAUCGGGGUCGGGGCAUGUCAGAAAAGAGGGGGAAAAGGUGGAAGGAAGACAAAAGGAAACAGAAGGAAAAGGCGGAAGAAAAGAAUGAAAGGGAGAAAUUGAAAAAUAGAGUAAAAACAGAGAUAACAGAUGUAGAGGGGUUUGAGUGGCAAACAGGCCACUGGGCGGGGGUAGAAGGAAGACAAAGGAGGAUGAAAAUCAACAAGAGAAGAAAAUAGAAGAAGAAAAGGAAAAUAGAAGAACAUAGCAGAGAAGGGGAAAAUAGAAGAACAUAGCAGAGAAGGGGAAAAUAGAAGAAAACAGAAGAAGAAAAUGAAAAGUGGCAACCAACUCCAGCCGAAGCCGGAGUCGAUGCUUGAGAAGGUGGACAAGUUGAAGACCCUCACCAAAGGGGGAAAGAAAACUCUCACAGAGGAAAGAAGGUCUCUCACGGAAUGAGAGAUUCACUUCUUCCCCUUCUUUAGAUUAAAGUAAUUUGGUGUCCAUUGGUUUCUCAAGUGGAGAUGAGGGAGAGAGAGAUCGAGUUGGGAGUUUGGGAGAUGAGGAGGGUAGGAUUGCCAUAUUGAAAAUUUCAUUAAUGACUACGGUUAACCUGUGUUAUAAAAUAGCUGGUUUUUUUAAGGGAGUUUUAACGAAACACUUCCGGUAUUGUUCACUUAAAUGAAAACGACAAUUUUACUUUAAAAAGUCACUUUGACACUAUUCACUUACAACACUUUUUUGUCAUUUCGAUUAAAGCUUAAAAUUUUCAAGCCAUUAUCAUUAGUUUUCCUAUUUUAAAAAACAUCUAUGAGAGAUGCUUUUAAUAGAAAUUUCCAAGGCCUAACUUUGAAUAUAAUAUUCCAGAUGAAAUAAGUCGUUUCUGCCAGGUGUUGACAUGUGUCAUGUUUGAUGACUUUUCCAACUUAUUUAGAUUUUUUGUUUAGACACACGCUACGCGUAAAAUUUAUGUAAUACAUGAGCGUUGAAACUUUGAUUUAUCGGUCAACAUUUAUUUACUGAAAUUUCGAUGUCUACAGAAACACUUAAAAUAAUUGCAAGAGUACAAGGUAGUUGUAGUAUAGCAGCUCAAACAAAGUCGUUCUCCACAGGGAUUGAAUGAAUAAUUUAUAUUUAAACUAAUCCUUAGCUAAUUAUUUGUAACAAAGUUUCGAAAAUGUCGAUUUUGGAAUUUAAAAUAAUAAAAACAAUUAAAUAAUUUGCAAAGUAAAAUGAACUAAAAAGAAAACGAUUUUAAAAAUCAAUUUAAGCACUAAAGUUCCGCCGUCACCAUUAACAAUCCUAUGCAAUUUUAUGAAUUACAUAUGAAAUUCUACAUACAUGCUUUGAAGGUUAGGUUUUCCUAAUAUAUAUUUUCCUCGUGAUGUUUGAGCGAAAACGUAUAUCUAACAUGCAACUCAUCUGUGAUGUUCAAAUCAAAUAUAAACAUGCAAGCCUCAUUAAGUUUUGUGAAAACCUUUUGAAAAACCAAGCAACCCUUAAGAGCGUGAUGUUCACCUUAACUGAACGUACAAUUACUAAUCACAAGAAGCCAUCCUCAAUUUCAAGGUGAUGUUCCAACAUAAAUUGCAUUAAAUUACUUGUCUAAAUACCCUAAUGGUCGCAAAUCACUAAGACAAUUAGAUAGUUUAAACACGAUAAUUAAUAAUUCAAAGCAAUCAUACAUUCAUUCAUAAGCAAAUUAAUAAAAUCACAUAUUCAUGUUAAGACUCAUGGUCUCGCCCUAGCAAAAAGACUAGUUUCACAUAAUCAUAAUAAAAACUAAAGAAAAUAUCAUUAACUAGAAAAAUAAAUGAAAACACCUUGUAGGUAAAAAAUCUGAAAUUUCCUAAAAUAAUGCGUCUCUCCAAUCCUAAUGGCUAAAUAACCUUAAUUGUACUACUAGAAAAAGUCUUCUAAAAACUAGGAAACAUAAUAGAAUAAGAUAACUUGAAAAUACAUUCAUAUUUUAACUUUGGAAAAUCUGUCCAUCCACAAAGAAUCCCACAUUUCUGCAUCUUUAGGGCUCCAAAACAGGCCCAAAACAACUUGAAUUAAAGAUUAAGACGUCAUUUUCAAGUUCCAAGAAGAUCACAAGUCCAAAAUUCAUCAUCUUGUAGCCCAAAAAGUCGCAAGUAAGCUCUAUAGUCCGAUUUGCCAGCAUUGCGUGCUGGUAUAAAUUAAUUCGCCGAGAUCAGAUGCUUAAGGAUAAAAUUACGAAAUUUUGAACAACCUUCUUGACAGAAUCACGAACCCACUUCAAUUGGAAUCACUCAAAAAUUUCACCAUUUGAUUACUUAAUGCUCAGAACAAGUUCGCACGUCCUACAUUGAAAAUAAUACAAAGCAUCAACAUUUCACCAAAAUAAUAACCAAAAUAUACCAAGAAUGGGAGCAAAUAUAUAGUAUAAAAUCAAGGGAGACUUUGGAUGUGGUCCCUAGUUAUGAACAGUCUUUGACUGAAACCUUGUUGGUUUUCAAUUUUUGAUCCAAGUCCCUGAAAUUAAUUGAUAAUUUAUUUCUAUGUACAUUACUAUAUUUUUAAAUUAAAAAUUAAAAUUUAUAGUUGUUUAUAGUAAUGAGAUUUUAAAUAAAAAACCAUAAUUUGUGGGAUUAAAAAUAUUAAAAUAUAAAUAUACUAUUGUGUGUGUGUGUGUAAACAUGGGUACAUUCAUAAAAAAUAACCAAAAAAUUAUUGUAUCAAAACAUGGGUACAUUCUUCAAAAUAGGUACAUUUAGCAAAAAUAAAAAUGGGUACAAAUAAAUAAAAAAGUAUGGGUACAAUACAAAUAAAACUUUAAAAAAUAUGGACACAAAAAGAAAUUAAUAUAUGGGUACAAAUUAAAACUGAAAGGAAAAUUGGUACAAAUUAAAAAAGGGUUGCAAAUUAAAAUGGGUACAAAUUAAAAAAAAAAUAUGAUAAAAAAUUUAGCCAUAAAUAUAAAUAUACUAAUUGUAACAUUUUUAAUAUUAAAUGAAUAUAUUUAGAAAUAAAAAAUAUUUUAUUAUUGAAAUAAUUAAUGAUAUUAUUAAUACAAAGGACCUUGAUCAAAAAUUGAAAAGUAAUAAGGUUUUAAUCAAUAGAGUAGUAAAAAUAGGGAUGAAAACCUAAUUACUCCUAAAAUGAACUCAUCAGUUACCACUAGAAUAAUGUAAUAGACGACAUGUGCUAUACACACUAAUUAAUUUGGUCAUUAUACUACACAUUUAAGCUAAAAACCGUAGUAUAACAGCAUACGAAAUGUUAUAAAGUGAUGGAUAUAUCUAAUACAUGACAGUAAUACACAAAGGUUGUUUGGUAAUAGCCGUUGUCGGAUGCAAAUAUGUAUGACGGUGAAAAAAAUCGUUGUGGAUUAACUUUAUACUAUGACACACUUGAGCACAACAAUUUUGUGAACGACGGUAUUUCACCGUCGUCCAGUUACUUUUUUUUUUAUGAUUAUAAAUCUUGAUUCCACUGGUUUUGGAAUGGUAACGAUGAUCUAGUAGAAAAUUGGAAAGUAAUGUAGUUACAUUUUGUUAGAACCAAAAAGGAUGGCAAAGAGCUUUUGUAAAAGCAGUCUGAUUACAGUUGUAAACUGGGAGAAUUCUUAUUGAAUUGAAAUAACAUUUAUGGUUAUUAAAUAGCCUUACAAUGAAAUAGGAAAGGAAACAACAACCCACGAUUUUACAGGGCUUAGAAUCUGUUAAACAUUAAAGUUGAUAUUUUGGAGAAUCUAAAUAGCCAUGUAUUUUUUGUUUUUUGUUUGUAUGUGCUGGCAGUGUCUAGAAUUAUCUUUUUGGGUAUUAUUUAUUAGGUCCAGCUUUAUUGUCUCUUAAAGAGAAAAAGAGGAGUCUUUAGAAAGAAACGAAAAGUCACUAGUUGUGCCUUUCCUCCUCCCUGUACCAGAUCUUUUUUGUGUGUGCAGAAAAUAGAAGUUGGAGUAUUUUUUUAUUCAUCUCUUUAGCUUGUUCUUCUUUACAUCUUUGUGUGUUGAUCUUGGGCUAGUGUAUUGUAUUACACUAUUGUUGUUAUUUACAGAAUCGUGGUGCAUGACUAAGUCAGAAAUGGAAAAACAAUCUUGUCCCUCAAGUAUAAGAGGGAUUAUAUGUAGGGCUGGAAAAAAAUCCCAAAAAUCCCAAACCAAACCAAAAAAAUCCCGAUCCCAAACCAAAAAAAUCCCAAACCAAAAUUCCCGAAAUUUUCAGGAUGUCAUCCCGAACCAAACCGAAAUUUUCGGUAUGGGAUUCGGUACUGCAUCUCCAUUUUUCGGUAUUCCCAUACCGAACCGAAAAAAAAUUAUAUAUAUAUUAUUUUUUAAUUGUAAGAGAAUUAUUUCAACCAUUGAUUAUUUUGGAUUUAAUAUGUGCCGUUGAUUUGUUUUUAGGUCAGAUCCAAAUGGUACUCUACUCUUUCCGUUCAUUUGUUUCCAUCCAUUGAAGUCUCGAAACGCAGCCCUCCCUCACCGAGCCCUCAUCUCUCAUCUAAUCUCUCAUCGAACUCGAAGUCACUCUCACGGUCUCACCUCACCCCAAAUUAGGUAAUUAAUUUAGUGUUUUGAAACCUAAUUUAUGUCUUCCUUUUGAAAUUUAAUUUAGGGUUUGAAUCUUGAAUCUUAAUUUCUGUCUUCGUUUUGAAACCUAAUUUCAAUCUUGAAUCUUCCCUUACUGGUUUCAAUUUUGAAGAGUGAAUGUUUUUAUGCGCUGCAUGUUUGCAGGAUUACCAGAUUGCUGCGGCUACCAGGAUUACCAGGUUUAUGCGCUGCAUGUUUUUUGCAAGUCUCAUCCUCUCCCAAAUGAAAUUGGUAUGUAGAAGGGAUGUAUGGGGAGAAAAUGCAAUAUCUUUCGAUGUUUGAAUAAAUACGACAAAAAAUUUGAUUGAGUAUCAGUGAAAAGCUUGCAGUAGGAUCAUCUUCAGAUUGUGAAUAUGUGUGUUCUACGUUUAAAUACUCUAUUGAGUCCCAACUGCUUACCUGUACAUAAUGCAUUAUGCAGUGGCUCCCCAGAGACAGAGCAUUGUGGAUGGAAUGAGGAUGAUAGCACUCAAACUUGAAUUUGGUGUAUCCCACAAUCAGAUAUUUGAGAGGUAUUUUUCUUUUAUUUUGUUCUACUUUUUGUUCUUAUCUUUCAAAAUUGUAGAUGUCUUUUAUUGAUUAUUAAUUUGUGCAGGACCCUAGCAGUGCAUUUUACAGAUCCUUUCCAUGUGAGCAAACGGGUUGCAGAUAAAUGCAAUGAUGGUACUUUGCUUCUCUAGGUAUGUGUGAUAUGGUUUUCAAAACUACACUUCUGUAUGUAACUUUACUUAUGCAUCCCUGGCUAGGUGAUUAGAUAAUAAGACGUGAAGUGUGUGACAUCCUAUUCCUAUGUGUUGAAACAUGGAAAUUGUUUCUGUUUCACCAGAUGGAUAUUAAUCACUUACUUUCUGAUGCAGGGUGUUGAUCCAAGUAUUCGAGCUGAAGUGUGGCCGUUUCUUCUUGGAGUGUAAGUAUUUUCAUAUCUAUGCGAUUGCUUUAAUGCUUCAAGUUUUGUAUGUGUUAUAUGAAAAUUAGUUAGUAUACGAUUUUCAAAUUUUCACCCUGGUUUUUAUUUGCUUUGUAGUUCAAAUACACGAUAUAUGCUCAGAUUUUUCUAUGUUGAAUGCUCAGAUUUUAUUUGCUUUGUAGUUCAAAUACACGAUAUAUGCUCAGAUUUUUCCAUGUUGAAUGCUCAGAUUAUUGAUUGGAAUUUGGAUAUAUGCUGAACUGUGGUUGUGAUAUAUAUUAAUGUGCAUUGUUAUUUUAUUUGUUAAGUAGGAUGAACGGGUCUAGUAGCCAAUCUAGUGCACAUAUGGUCUCGGUAUUAGGGGCCGAAGAGGCCAACAAUCUUCAUAAAUUUUAGGCUUUGUUUUUUUGCUUUUGGUUUGUAACUUAAUUAUUGAAACUUUGGCUUGGAACUAAUUUUUUUGCUUUUGAGUUUGUUACUUUAUUUAUUUUAAAACCUUGACUUGUAACUAAUAUUUUUGCUUUUCGAUUUGACUUGUUGUACGUCACUAUGGGCUGUUGAAUAUAUUUGGCAAAUUGCUUUAAAAUAGAUUUGUACACAGAUUUGACAUGUGUAGUAGAAAUAAAAUUGUUUUUUGUUGAAUUAGGUUAAGCCCAUAUGGGCUGUUGAAUUGAGUGACUAUACAAUUGGACAUAUUCAUUACUAGGCUGGGUGGACAGAUUUUGGGCAUGGCCCAAUAUUGGCUUUUUGUCCAAAAGCCCAAAACCAUUUCGGGAUUCCCGAUUUGUCCCGAAAUCACGAAACUAUUUUGGGAUUCCCGAAAAUUUGGUUUGGGAUCGGUAUUGAAAUUGAGAUUCCCGAAAAUUUUGGUUUGGGAAUCGGGACAAGGGUUUCGGUAUGGGAUCCCAUACCGAACCACCUCUAAUUAUAUGCAUGACUUGAAUCAAACCCUAAAAACAAGGAACCCUAACCCUAAUGGGUAGGAAGUCCCAACAACUUUAACAUCAUCCAUUAAGCUGAAUGUCAUUGGCAAUCAAUUGAUUCCAGGGUAUUCGCAAACACCCAUUCAACCUCGCAUCUUCGAAAACAUUUCAAGCUACAAUGGUUUUGUCAAGAUAUCUACAAUUUGCUCCUGAGUAGAACACUAUAUUAGCUCCACUACUUCAUCUUGGACAAGAUCACGAAGAAAAUGAAUAUGGACAUCUAUGUGCUUGCUACGGCCAUGCAUCACUGGAUUCUUCGAGAGUUUGAUGGCUGAAGUACACUACCGUAGGAUUGGAUUGCACAUGAUUUAGAAUUUUCAAAAUUCUUCUCUGGCACACAACUUCAUACACACUUGAUGCUGCAACAAUAAACUCUGCUUCUAUGGUGGAAAGAGUAACUAUGGGCUGUUUCUUUGAAGACCAAGACACUGCACCCGAAUUCAUCAUAAAAACAUAACUUGAAGUGCUCUUUUUGUCAUACUGAUAUCCAGAAUAAGCGUUGUCUAUGUAGCCAAAGAGCUCUUCAUCUCCUCAUUUCUUAAAGACACCCCAAAGCUAGUUGUGCUCUUCACAUACCUUAGAACUCUUUUUGCUGCCAUCAAAUGAGUCUAUGUGGGACGUUCCAUGUACAUACUAGUUAAGCUUACAACAAACAUUAAAUCAGGACAUGUGGCAGCUAGAUACAUAAGAUUUCCCACCAUCUACUUGUAAACCUUGUCAUCGACUCCCACUCAUUAUUCAUCCCUUGUAAGCUUAAACCCAAAAACCACUAGAUUGUGCACUGAGUUGCACUAGUCCAUAUUAAAUCUCUCCACAAGUUCUUGAGCGUACUUCUGUUAGCUAAUAAAGAUGUUAUCUAAUAUUUGCAACACUUCAAUGCCAAGGAAAUAUCUCAUUUUCUUGAGAUUAGUCAUAUAAAAUUCAACCAUCGUGGACUUCUUAAAUUGUUCGAACAUAACUUCAUCAUUGCCAGUAAAUAUAAGAUCAUCAACAUAAAGACACUUUCAAUAAUUUACCUCCAUCCGUUGUUUUAAUGAACAGAGUAUGCUCGUAGGACAUUUGUUGAAGCCUUCCUUAACAAAGUAUGACUCUAUACGACUGUACUAGGCUCAGGGAGCCUGUUGAGUUCAUACAAAGCCUUCUUGAGCAAAUAGACCUUGGAUUUAUUCCCCUUUUGUUCAUAACCAGGAGGUUGAUCGACAAACACCUUUUCAUUAAUUUCUCCAUGCAGAAAGGCUGAUUUGACAUCAAGUUGGUAAAUCAACCAACUUUUCUGAGUAGCAAGGGAAAGUACAAUUCGAAUUGUAUCCAAGUGAGCCACUGGUGUGAACACUUCAGCAUAAUCUACCCAUAUUGUUAGAUGUAUCCCUUAGCGAAUAGCCAUGCCUUAUACUUGUCGACUUCCCUAUGCUCAUUGAGUUUUGUUUCAAGACCCACUUCACUUCAAUGGUUUUUGCCCUAAUGGUAGAUUCGUUAGUUCUCACAUCUCAUUCCUCUUUAUAGCUUCAAUUUCUUGAUCCAUAGCUUACCUCCAUUUUUCACAAUAUCCUCAAAUGUCUAGGGAUAACUGUCAGUGAACAAAGCUAGAUGAGCUAUGUUUACACCUUCUUCAUCAAAGAAACCUUGACCAGUUUCAUAAUCUCCCAUCCACACUGGUGGUCUUCGUGUUCGUCCUUUUGUGAGGUGAGUUGUCAUUAUUCAAGGUGUCUUCUUCUUCUAAAAAGUCACUGCUAUCAGUCCUACCGUCCUCCAAUUCUUCAUUAGCUUUAGACUCAUCUCCAUUGCCUUUAUCUUUUAUACUUGCUUAUUCGUUAGUUUCCCAUUCAAGAUCAGCCAAUAUGGCUUGCUUGUGACUGCAUCCAUACUCCAUUUUUUAUCUUCCUUAAAGACCACAUCUCGGUUUACAAUUAUUUUGUGAAAUGGGAUCAAUCUGCCUGUAAGCUUUAGACUCUUCACUUACUCCAAGUAAUAUGCAUUUGAGACUCUUGGCAUCAAGCUCCACUCUCUUGUUGUCAGGUAUAUGAGCAUGGAUAUGCAUCCAAAGAUUCUGAAAUGCUCCACUAAUGGUUUAAGUCCGCUCCAACCUUUUUAGGUAUUUCUCUCUUCACAGCAAGGGUCCGACUUCUAUUCAGCACAUGAACCAUCCAGUUUACAGCUUCAUACCAAUAAGUUUUAGAAAUUUUCUUCUCAGGCGACAUGCUUUGUACCAUAUUCAUAAUGGUUCGAUUUUUCCUCUCGGCAACACCGUUUUGUUAGGGAGUAUAUGUAGUCGUCAAUUGCAUGUGUAUUCCAUUCUUAUUACAGAAGUUUGUGAAUUCUUAUAAUGUGAACUCGCUCUCACGAUCUGUUCUAAAACUCUGUAUGAAUGCUCUAGUUUCAUUCUCGACCCUGGCUUUGUAGGUUUUGAAUGUGGCAAAGGCUUCUGAUUUUUCUACCAAGAAAUAAACCCAAGUUUUUCUACUGAAAUUGUUAAUAAAGGUGAUGAGAUACCUUUUCUUGCUGUUCGAGAUUGGAUUUAUCAAACCAUAUAUAUCAGCAUGCACCAAUUGAAGAAUUUUGAAGGCUCUCUAUAUACUUUCCUUUGGGAAUGGAUCAUGGUGUUGUCUUCCCACCAAACAGUCUUCACAUAUUCUCUAAGUAGCUUUGAACUGAGGUUACCCUUCAAUCAUCUUCUUUUGUUGAAGUACUUUGAGUCCAUUCCAGCUAAAAUGUCCAUAUUGACAGUGCUAAAGCAUGGCUUGAUUUGUGGUCUGUGAGGAGAAAUAUUUUUGCUCUCUUAGUGGACAGCGAGCAAGCACAUCAAGCAAACAUUCUAUUAUAUGUUAUCUCAGGAUGAAAGAUCUUACAUUUUCCAUGUUGAAUAAGCACAACGAGUCUCUUCUCUUGUAGUUGCUCGAUGCUUAACAAGUUGUUCUUCAGUUCUGGUACAAAGAAGACUCAUGUGAUCACAUGUGCAAUCUCAUUCACCUUUAUUUGAACCUUGCCUUUACUUCGUACAAUAAGGCUCGAGUCAUUUCUCAGCUUCACAGACUCUCUGAAAUUUCUAUCAAAUUCAAAAAAUAUGUCUCUUUUGCCACACAUAUGGUUGCUAUACCCAGAAUCAAGGAACCAAAUGUUCUCUACUUCAUCUUUUUUAAAGUCCACAUGGACCAUCAACAACAUCUCUUCUUUUGUUUCUGCGUAGUUUGCCUUUGGAUCCCUUGCUUUCCUUGGACACGUCCACUGAAAAUGCCCUAACUCAUGACAAUUAUAGAUUGUAAUGUAGAUUUCUCAAACUCAAAUCUACCUCUACCUCUUCCUCUUCCUCUUCCUUUUCCUCUUCCUCUUCCACGAUAAGUACUUUGACCUCCACAUUUUCCUCCUUGCUAAGCUACAUAAGUGACUUGCAGUGCUUGUUCAUCCGGCUGAUUCUUUGUUCAUGCACCAACAGGUUACUCUGAAGCUCGUCUAUAGACAAGGUUCAUUCGAUUCCUCAAUCAAACACACAACAUAAUCAUAUUUUGAAGUCAUAGACCUCAAGAUCUUCUCAGUGAUCACCACAUCCUCCAUUUUCUCUCUGUGAACCUCAUUUUAUUAGCUAUGAUGAGAGUUCUUCCAAAGUAGUCAUUGACUUAUUCCCCAGCGUUUAUGUGUAUCACUUUAAACUCUUCACAAAGAGCUUGCAAUUGGGCACACUUGACACAUGCCGUUCCUUGAUAUUUCUGCUUCAAAGAAUCUCAUAUAUCCUUCGCGGUAUCCUUCUUCAAGCACCACCACCUAACAAUCUUCAUCUCAAAUCCUAGGCUUGGACGAGAUCCUUCUCUCUUCCUUUUUCUUUUCCUUUGCACAGUAGUGCCUUUACUAUGCAUCCCUUUCUUUGGCAAGUUAUCACCGUUUUCGGCGAAGGUAAGCCACGAACUCCUUCGAUCUUCCUCCCUCGUGGUCUAAAGUAUUUGUUUGAUGAUAAAUAAUGACUUUGGUGAAUGGUUUAAUCACAAAAACUGCUAUGGGAAUUUUUUUCCAUAUUCGGGGAAGUGGGAGACCGUGACUGUUUCGCCACUUUCAAGCCAUUUUUCAAGCCAGCUCCGAUCCUCAUUGGGCCUCGAAAGGGUAUAAAUCUCUUCCCUACAUUUCUAACUUUACAUAGGAUCUUGAAUCACUUGAUUUGUGGUUGUAUCGAGCUCGGAAUUAGCUCUGGGAGUUAAAUGAGAAACCUGCAAAAAUUGCAGAAAUUGUGAGAUCCCACAUUGGCCAGGGGAGUGGAUCAUCUAUGCCUUAUAUGUACAUUCUCACCUCUAAUUGGCACGAGGCUUUUUGGGUGCUCACUGGUUUCAGGUUUCAUCGAAACUCCGAAGUAAAGCGAGUUCGCGCGAGAGCAUUCCCAUGAUGGGUGACCCACUGGGAAGUUCUCAUGUGAGUUCCCAAAAAAAAACUGUAAGGGCGUGGUCGAGGCCCAAAGCAAACAAUAUCGUGCUACGGCGGAGGUGGGGCCGGGGAUGUGGUGAGAGCCCGGGUCGGGAUGUGAAAAUUUGGUAUCAAAGCCAAUCCCUGGCCGGAAGGGUGCCGACGAGGACGUCAAGCCCCUAAAGGGGGUGGAUUGUGAGAUCCUACAUCGCCCAGGGGAGUAGAUCCUAUAUGCCUUAAAUGUACAUUCCCACCUCUAAUUAGCAAGAGGCCUUUUGUAAGCUCACUGGCUUCGGGUUCUAUCAAAACUCGGAAGUUAAGUUAGUUCGUGCGAGAGCAUUCUCAUGAUGGGUGACCCACUGAGAAGUUCUCGUGUGAGUUCCCAAAAACAAAACCGUGAGGGCGUGGUCGGGGCCCAAAGCAAACAAUAUCAUGCUACGGCGGAGGCGGGACCCGGGAUGUGGUGGAGGCUCGGGUCAGGAUGUGAAAAUUUGGUAUCCAAACCAAUCGCUAGCUGGAAGGGUGCCAACGAGGACGUCGGGCCCCUAAGGGGGGUGGAUUGUGAGAUCCCACAUCGCUCAGGGGAGUGGAUCCUCUAUGCCUUAUAUGUACAUUCCCACCUCUAAUUAGCACGAGACCUUUUGGGAGCUCACUGACUUCGAGUUCUAUCGGAACUCCGAAGUUAAGCGAGUUCGCGCGAUAGCAUUCCCAUGAUGGGUGACCCAUUGGGAAGUUCUCAUGUGAAUUCCCAGAAACAAAACUAUAAGGGCGUGGUCGGGGCCCAAAACGGACAAUAUCGUGCUACGGCGAAGGUAGGGUCAGAGAUGUGGUAGGGGCCCUGGUCGGGAUGUGACAUAAGGCGAGUAUAGCGUACUCGUGGGCUCGUGAAGCACACGGGCCUCCACUAGGGGUACUAUGGAUGGCGUUGCCGAUGAUUUUUCCGGCCAACUUUCUAGUAACCCAACUUAGCACGUGGUGACUCGGGCCGUCACCCCGUGGCGGCGCAUGCGAUGGCGAGUAGGGAAACCCAAGGUCUUUCCUUUGGUUUUUCGACAUGCCAAAUUUGAAUCUGCCAUUCGUUUUACCAAAGUUUGUCGUUUUAGUAGAGUUUUAACAAAUGGUCCCUAAUUGUGUUUAGGUGCGUUGGUUUGAAGUGAUCCCAUCCUUCGUAGUUCGAAUGGCUCUUCGGUAGCAUAAUAUUUGUGAGUGGACCCCUUCUCAAAUUACAUGUUUUUAUAAAAAUAUUAGGCUUGCAUUCAUGGAAGGCAUAUAUUUAUAAUUCUACAUUUCAUGAAUUAAUUAUGUUUUAUGAUAAGUUUAUGAAUUUCUAAAUUUAUGUUUUACGAAGAAUUUAUGAUUUAUUUAAUUUGUUUUUUGAAGUAUUUACGAUUUAUCAGUUUAAGGUUUAUGAAAUUUUAUGCUUAUGAAAAUCAUGUUUAUGGAAAUGCUUAUGAUUUCUGAUGAUGAUGUUUUGAGCCCUAAGCUUUGGUAUGAGAUUUUGAAUUACAUUUUAUGUGCUUAAUUAGUGGGUAAUCAUACAACAUAUACACACAACACGAGUAUGUAUACGUUUAUGGCCAUAGGACACAAUGGAGGAAUAGUGAGAUAUUUACAACAUACUCCUAACUUCACUGGCGAAACCAAUGUCGGACAGCUUCACCUUUGAGUGAUGGGACCUACCAUGUUUCUUCACUGGCGUAACCCAGUGUCGUACAACUUCACCCUCAGGUGAUGGAUAUGCAUUCGAGCAACUACGAUGCCCCUAUAUAAGUACAUUAGUAUUUUGAUUUACGAGCUCUUUUAGUUUUGUCUUUGGGCGAUUUCAAUACCACUUUUAGAUAUGAUUUUAUUAUCUAUGAACGUUUUCGUGGCAUGUAGAGUUUCGGGAAAAACCUAUUACGUAUUAUUAUAUUGUUUUCAAAACGGGGGGUUAGUAUGUGCAAAAAGAAAACGGUUUUCUUAUUAUUACUAUUAUUAUAAACUCUGGUCCACUAACCUUUUGUUUUUGUGCCCCCUUCAGGACCUAGUGACGAGAAAUACGACUCGAGCAUCGAGGCAUUUCCCUUCUAGUGAUCUUGUUUUCUCCUCACUACGCAUGACCUUUUUAUGUAUAAUUGUAACUUUAUGUCUUUCAUUUCGCUAGCACUAUUGUUUAGUAGUAUGCUCUGGACAUAUUCAUGCAUCCUUUGUUUCGAAUUGUUAACAGUUGGAUAUUCUCCUUUUAUUAUGACUAACGUUAUAUUAUUAUCAUUUCUUUAGCGUUUGUAUAUUCUUUAUGAUUAUUGUUUCUCUUUUGACUUUUUGAUUGCAUGCUUCCUUGUGUUCAUGCAUAUUCAUAUAAUUAUGGCUUUUGUCAUGCUCGAGUAUCGGUCAAUACAUGUCAUGCAUGUGUCAUUUGGAUAUCUGGGUUGUGGCGUGUCCAUCAAACCUCGGAAUGGCAGGUUGCACGAAGCUACUCUCGGAUGCCAUGUAUUUUGUUCCUUCAAGCUAGUAACUAUGUUGCAGGCUUUGAUCAAGCCCCAUGAUGGGGCUCUGAUACUAGAUGUUAGAAUAAAAAAAGGAUAGAAAAGAGCUCUUGUAAACGCAAAGUCUGAUUACACUUGUAAAUUGGGAGAAUUCUUAUUGAAUUGGAAUAACACUAAUGGCUGUUAAAUAGCCUUACAAUGAAAUAGGAAAAAAAAACAACCACCCACGAUUUUGCAUGGCCUAGAAUCCCUCCUAUACUCGAGGGACAAGAUUGUUUUUCCCUUUCUGACUUUGUCAUGCACCACGAUUCUAGGCCAUGUAAAUUAUUUUUAAAUUAUGUGCUUCUUGAGGUCGUGGAUCCUUGUUUCCCCGUUGAGUAUUUGACUUAGAGAGUUAAAAAUAGGGAUGCAAACUACUACGCCUACAAUUACGGCACCAAUACGAGAUGGCAGAGAAGCAAUAACGGAACCAUCGUUGCCAAAAAAAAAAUAGUUAACCAUACUUUGCCCGGGCCGCUUGGGCUCCACUGCUAUCAGGGCUGCACAAAAUGCCACCAACAUGCCAGCAAUGGAAUAACUAAUAAGACUCGUAGGUGUGGGUAGAUGGGUUGACAGGACAGAUAUAGGACUGGAUUCAUUAAAUAUCGCCGACACUGAGAGAGCGAAGCAAAGCGUGUUAAAAAACAUAAAUACUUUGUAAGCUCCUUCUUUUGUUAAAACUGGUGUUCCAUCGUCUUUAAACCCUCCUGGCGGGUUCAAAACGGCCGUAAAUGUAACGGUUGCAAUGACCGUCGCUACCAGAAGUUUCGAAUCAUUUCUUUUGAAGGUCUGAGCCAAAUAAGCCUGCAAGUUUUCUCUCGUAUUUGUAGUAUUGACCAGUGUCUCAGACGUACUGCUUUCCCCUUGGGAUCCAAAUUUCUUGAACUCCUGCUUGAUUUUUUGUUGAUAAUAUGGCACGGUAACGACAACGUCUCUUGCCAGGCAGUUCAAAACAUUGCGACUUUUUACGAUUUCCUAAAAC
rnacentral:lncRNA from 1 species